CAAGCGGUGGAGCAUGUGGUUUAAUUCGAUGCAACGCGAAGAACCUUACCUACUCUUGACAUCCACGGAAUUCGGCAGAGAUGCCUUGGUGCCUUCGGGAACCGUGAGACAGGUGCUGCAUGGCUGUCGUCAGCUCGUGUUGUGAAAUGUUGGGUUAAGUCCCGCAACGAGCGCAACCCUUAUCCUUUGUUGCCAGCGAUACGGUCGGGGACUCAAAGGAGACUGCCGGUGAUAAACCGGAGGAAGGUGGGGAUGACGUCAAGUCAUCAUGGCCCUUACGAGUAGGGCUACACACGUGCUACAAUGGCGCAUACAAAGAGAAGCGACCUCGCGAGAGCAAGCGGACCUCAGAAAGUGCGUCGUAGUCCGGAUCGGAGUCUGCAACUCGACUCCGUGAAGUCGGAAUCGCUAGUAAUCGUGGAUCAGAAUGCCACGGUGAAUACGUUCCCGGGCCUUGUACACACC
rnacentral:rRNA from 1 species